ACUCUUACAGGUCUUUCACAUUAAGCUCAAGCUCUGUCUGCUUUUUUAUCGCUUCCUGUUUGUCUGAGCACCUUCUCUAAGUCCUUGGACUCCUCAUGGGCAUACUGUAUUUUUCUCUGUAGAAUAACAAGUUGUUUCGUAGCAUCAUCCUGAAAACAUACCACACUUUAAAUAAAAGCAUUCAUUCAACAUUCUUUAUCCCAAAAAAAUAAUUAGAAUUU